AUACGGAGGGUGCAAGCGUUAUUCGGAAUCACUGGGCGUAAAGGACGCGUAGGCGGGUUGGCAAGUCAGAUGUGAAAUCCUACAGCUUAACUGUAGAACUGCAUUUGAAACUGCUAACCUAGAGUAUGGGAGGGGGAGAUGGAAUUAGUGGUGUAGGGGUAAAGUCCGUAGAUAUCACUAGGAAUACCGAAAGCGAAGGCGAUCUCCUGGAACAUAACUGACGCUAAGGCGUGAAAGCGUGGGGAGCAAACAGGAUUAGAUACCCUUGUAGUCC
rnacentral:rRNA from 1 species